UACGAAGGGUGCAAGCGUUAAUCGGAAUUACUGGGCGUAAAGGGUGCGUAGGCGGUUCGUUAAGUCUGUCGUGAAAUCCCCGGGCUCAAUCUGGGAAUGGCGAUGGAUACUGGCGAGCUAGAGUGUGUCAGAGGAUGGUGGAAUUCCCGGUGUAGCGGUGAAAUGCGUAGAGAUCGGGAGGAACAUCAGUGGCGAAGGCGGCCAUCUGGGACAACACUGACGCUGAAGCACGAAAGCGUGGGGAGCAAACAGG
rnacentral:rRNA from 1 species